GAUGAAGAACGUAGCGAAAUGCGAUAAGUAAUGCGAAUUGCAGAUUUCAGUGAGUCAUCGAAUCUUUGAACGCACAUUGCGCCCGCCAGUAUUCUGGCGGGCAUGCCUGUUCGAGCGUCAUUUCAACCAUCAAGCCCCCGGGCUUGCGUUGGGGCCCUGCGGCUGCCGCAGGCCCCGAAAAGCAGUGGCGGGCUCGCUGUCACACCGAGCGCAGUAGCGAUUCUCGCUCCGGGCGUCGGCGGCGGGCACCGGCCGUGAGACCCCCCCACAUCCACAAGGUUGACCUCGGAUCAGGUAGGAAUACCCGCUGAACUUAAGCAUAUUAAUAAGCGGAGGA
rnacentral:misc_RNA from 1 species